rnacentral:sRNA from 1 species
GGCAACGACCCGAAGGGCGAAGCGCGCAGCGUUGAGUAAUCCUUCCCCCACCACCA